rnacentral:snRNA from 1 species
GCACUUGAUUUAGCAGCACAUAUACUAAAAUUGGAACAGUAGAAAUAAGAUGUGAUUGGCCCCUGCACAAGGAUGAUGACACUGAAAUCCAUGAAUCAUUCCAUAUUUUC